rnacentral:tRNA from 1 species
GCCCAUAUAGCUCAGCCGGCAGAGCGCGUCCUUGGUAAGGACGAGGUCGCGAGUUCAAAUCUCGCCUGAGGCU